rnacentral:rRNA from 1 species
GGGAGGCAGCAGUGGGGAAUAUUGCACAAUGGGCGCAAGCCUGAUGCAGCCAUGCCGCGUGUAUGAAGAAGGCCUUCGGGUUGUAAAGUACUUUCAGCGGGGAGGAAGGGAGUGAAGUUAAUAACCUCAUUCAUUGACGUUACCCGCAGAAGAAGCACCGGCUAACUCCGUGCCAGCAGCCGCGGUAAUACGGAGGGUGCAAGCGUUAAUCGGAAUUACUGGGCGUAAAGCGCACGCAGGCGGUCUGUCAAG